rnacentral:rRNA from 1 species
CCUACGGGUGGCAGCAGUAGGGAAUAUUGCUCAAUGGGCGAAACCCUGAAGCAGCAACGCCGCGUGGAGGAUGAAGGUUUUCGGAUUGUAAACUCCUUUUGUUAGAGAAGAUAAUGCCGGUAUCUAACUAAUAAGCACCGGCUAAUUCCGGGCCAGCAGCCGAGGUAAUACGGAGGGUGCAAGGGUGACCCGGAAUCAGUGUGCGUAAAGCGCGCGUAGGCGGGUUUGCAAGUCAGAUGUGAAAUCCUGUGGCUUAACCAUAGAACUGCAUUUGAAACUGUUAGUCUAGAGUGUAGGCGAGGUAGGUGGAAUUCAUGGUGUAGCGGUAAAAUGCGUAGAGAUCAAGAAGAACACUGAUUGCGAAGGCGACUUACUAGACCAUAACUGACGCUGAGGCACGAAAGCGUGGGGAGCAAACAGGAUUAGAUACCCGUGUAGUC